GGAGCGGGAGGUUUGCACUGGGCCCGUCUGGCAGGCGGCACGGAGGCUUUGGGCUGCGGCUCCCCCGUGCUGGGCACUCGAGGCUGGGAUCUCCCCCGAGGCGUGUGAGGCGAGCGGGGCCGCGCUAGCUGAAGGCGUUUGUUUCUCUCCGCCGGGGCCCGGGACGAGCCGUAGCCGGGGCUGUUUUUCCCGUGUAGGGAACGGGGAGAAAGGUAGGGUCUGGCUUUAGCGGGCAGCCCAGGAGGGCUCCAGCCGAGCCCCCGGCUCCCUCCGCCACGUCCCUGCCCGGCCUCAGCCCCUCCAGCGCCGCGGCUGAGCGAGGGAGGGGAGGCGGCGGCUGGGGUUUCAUUCGACGCCCACCAGGGGCUGAGCGAGCCUCCUUCAGUGCGCAAACUCGGGGCACCAGAUAAAAGCUGGGCUGGCAGCCCUUACCCUGCCUCGAUGGAGCCGCCACAAGCGGGUGACUGGAGAAGCAGUUAGCAGCAGCGCCAUAGCCUAGCGUCCCCCCACACCUCGCGCAGAGAGAGUUUGGGGCUCCAAAGAGCUGCUGCUGCGGCAGGAGGGAGCCGAGGUGAAGGGAUCCGCUGGCUGGUUGGACGCAGAGGAGGCGGCUGUAACGGGGCGUUGAGCCUGAGGGAGGAGGGGGGCGAUUAAACGUCUUGUGAUCAUGGCGGAGUCUAUGGGUAUUUUUUCCUGUCUAACUCUCCUAAUGUGCUGCUGCUCCCCAGAAGUCACGCUUGAGGAUUAGAUUGAUUUAGUCCCUUAAAAAUAAUUUUUCAAGUUGCCCACUGCAAAUGCCUGAAAGGACUUCAUUUCUGCAAGUGAGGUGCAAAUUCCAGAGUAAAAGAGGUAAUUAUCUUACAGAGCUAACUAAAUAGCUACCACUCCUCUGAAAACGUGGCCUUUACUGGUAUGCUCUCUUAAAAAAGCACAUGUACUGUCUUUUCUGUGGAUCCAUUGCUAGCAGUAGAAGCUUGAAGUUGUUCUGAGGACACAAAUACAUUAUUUUCCUGGCCUGAUGCAAAGUCCCAAACUUAGUGACACCUUUGAUGCCAAAGCAAUUGACUGCAGCGUGUGCAGUGAGCUCUUCCCGUUGCUGGCUCCUCAGGGAUUAAAGAUGUUGCUUAUUUCAGGUUUAUUGACCCACCGUGGUUUUCGUCUGGGCUGGCUGCUGUUCGGUGGUGACAUUUCCAGCUAAAUAGCAGUGUCUAUCAGUGUACCUCUCCUGAGGAUUACAAUUGUUUCGUACAGCAGUAACAGGAAUAUAAAGCAAGAGUGGCUAUGCCAGGCUUGGCCAGGCUCCAUCUACCUCAGUGUCUCCAGCAGACACUGUAAGUGCCUUGAUAAAAGCCUAAGAACAGGUCAAAUAUAAAAGCUUCCUUCUUUACUCUUAGCCUCCAACUGUUUUCACAUCCCACGCUGAUUCAAGGUUUUGUGUAUUUAGCAAAUCUUGAAUAGAUUUAAUUUACAAAUUGUCGGGUCUUCCGCUGAACUAAUAUUCCACUUCAGUGUUCACAGCAUCCUUUAGUGAAGAGUUCAGGAAAUCACCUGUUCCAAGGUGAAAAGCCACCUUUUUUCCUUUGUGUUGAACCUCAUACUACCUUACUGGGCAUUAGUUCAUUCUUAUUUUGGAAGGAAAGUGAACAGUUGCCAUCCAAGAUGCUCUGGAUUUUACAGGCCUCUGUAACAUCCUUUCAGUUUUCUCUUUUUCAGCCUGAAGAGUCCUGUCUUAUUUGAUGAACAUGUGAAGUUAGAGUUGUUUUUCUGCAUGUACAUGAUUUUACACUUACCUGUAUUGUACCUAUUUGCUAUUCUCUUGUCAACUAACGCUUGUUCAGUCUAUCACCUGUCAUUCUCACCACCCUGAAUAACUUGUAUCAUCAGUAAACUGACAUGUUCUUGUCCUCCCCUUUUCCAGGUACACUGAGCUCCAUCACAAAUCUCUGAGGUUCUGCACUGAUAAACUUUGUCUACUCUGAGCCUUGUGUUCUGUUUCUGGUCUCUUACCCCUGCAAGGACUUUCCCUCUGGAGCUAUAGUAGCUCGGUUUCUUUAAAAGCCUUGUUGAGAAUCAUGAUUGAAAGCUUUCUGGAACCUCAAAUACAUUUACCAACCCAACCAUCCUCAUCCAUGGCACUGCUGAGCCCUUCAAAGAAGCCUGAAAAGUGCUUCCAAAGUGUCCCCAGGUUUCUGCUUAAUAAUUCUAUUCUUUGUUAUCGUGCAUACUGCUUGCUUACAGGUGAAAUCAUCAGAGAUGAAGAAAUGGCAUUUUUGAAUAAUUAGACCUCUUGCAAAGUCCUGAGUGAAGCUCUUCAAAAGGCAGCACAACUUUCCUGGUGUGGUUUGCAUAGCUGAAGUAGCUAAUGGGGAUGAAUUCAGAGAGAAAUCUCCUUGGCAAAAUCAGCUCUUCCCAAACACAGGAUGUUGUCGUUAAUCGUUUGAGCAAAAUGUGUGGUCGUUGUUGUUCUUCCAUUAAACCUACCUACUUGAAAAUAUCAACAAAAGGCUCCUUGUGGCUGCACAGCUUAACUUCAGUGUUUGCAAACCUGACAGUGCCAGGUCUGAUGCAGCUGCUGGAUAAAGAUCAUUUGCAGAUUUAUUCCUAAAUUGUCCGGUGAAAGAAAAUAAAAUUGGAGGAGGGGAAGAAAUUCUCAAACAAAUCCAGCACGUUGGAAGUGUGGUAGCGCUUCCAGUUACCAAGCAUCUGAACCACUGCUCGGUGAAUAAUGCAGUGACAGUUCCAGAAGGCUGGCAGAUACUCUGAUAAAACACAGAAAUGCACAUAUUAACGUUGGCCUGUUAGCUCUGUGGAUGCACUGCAUUACAUUUAUUGCUGGUUUUACUGUGCCUGUGUGUGUGUAGGCUCUUCCCUGUGGUGCCCAAUAGUAAGCAUGACAUAAUAAAAAUAAACAUAUCUUGCAUUUAUAGAAAGGAGGAAGGGGACAGCUAAGAGUGUGUGCAUGGAUACUCCCCGCAGAGCUGCUGGUUUGUGCUAACUAGCUGGUACAUCAGUCCUUACUCUGCAUUGCAGUGGUUAACUCUUGCCUUUUUAAAAAAUGUAUUGUUUAAAUCCAUAUAAAAUACUUCCCUAGACACGUCUAGGGGCCGACUCCGAGCUCUGCCUAUUGCCACAUUGUGCUGUUGCGUGCAAGAUUAUCUCUCCAGAUAAGCAUGAAUAGGGUUCAAAUGAAUCUAUCAAUAAUCAGUGGAAAGGAUGUCAUAACGCCAAGUCUGAUACUGUAAAAAAUACACAAGUCCUUGAAAACAUGUGUUUGGAAAGGAACCGCUUUAUUCUUAACAUAGCUGCAGGUCUGGCAGCAACAGCUUGUGAAGAGGUGUGGGAAUUAGCUGAGUCGACUCCCUGCUGGCAAGGAGCGCUAGGAGGCUGCCUGCUACCAACACGAGCCUGACUUCUCCUUUUUAAAUCCCUUUGCGUAAAGGAAGGUAAAUUGUUUUUCUUUGCUAGUGAAACAUUGCGAGGCAAUGCUGCGUUCGAGAAGAAAAAGAUAACCACUUGCUGGAAAUAAAAUUUCUUUAAAAUCAAA